AGUGAACGCUGGCGGUAGGCCUAACACAUGCAAGUCGAACGGCAGCACAGUAAGAGCUUGCUCUUACGGGUGGCGAGUGGCGGACGGGUGAGGAAUACAUCGGAAUCUACUUUUUCGUGGGGGUUAACGUAGGGAAACUUACGCUAAUACCGCAUACGACCUACGGGUGAAAGGAGGGGAACUUUGGACCUUGUGCGAUUGAAUGAGCCGAUGUCGGAUUGGCUAGUUGGCGGGGUGAAGGCCCACCAAGGCGACGAUCCGUAGCUGGUCUGAGAGGCUGGUCGGCCACACUGGAACUUAGACACGGUCCAGGCGCCUACGGGAGGCAGCAGUGGGGAAUAUUGGACAAUGGGCGCAAGCCUGAUCCAGCCAUACCGCGUGGGUGAAGGAGGCGUUCGGGUUGUAAAGCCCUUUUGUUGGGAAAGAAAAGCAGCAGGUUAAUACCCCGCUGUUCUGACGGUACCCAAAGAAUAAGCACCGGCUAACUUCGUG
rnacentral:rRNA from 1 species